UACGAAGGGGGCGAGCGUUGUUCGGAAUUACUGGGCGUAAAGGGCGCGCAGGCGGCCUUAGAAGUCAGAUGUGAAAGCCCCGGGCUCAACCUGGGAAUGGCAUUUGAUACUCUGAGGCUGGAGUACGGGAGAGGAGAGUGGAAUUCCCAGUGUAGAGGUGAAAUUCGUAGAUAUUGGGAAGAACACCGGUGGCGAAGGCGGGUCUCUGGGCCGUUACUGACGCUGAGGAGCGAAAGCGUGGGGAGCGAACAGG
rnacentral:rRNA from 1 species